CGGUAGAUUCCGUAGAUUUCGAGUCCGGCGUGUGGUUUUUUUUUGUUUUUUUUUCCUGUUGUUUUUUUCGCCGCUAACGUAGCGUAUUAUGCAUGCAUGUGUAAAUAUAUACAGGGUGGUUCGCCGAGCGCGCUCACCGCAUUAAUUUCGGUUAAAUUUCGCGCGUAACAUAGUCGAAUUCCGAUUUUCGGGACGUUUUCGAACGCUUGGAAUUUUUCACGGCAUUUAACGAAUGGGCGAUACCCGCCGACUUUGGUUUUCCCAACGAGAACCUGCAUUCGGAAUUUCGUACACGGACGGACGGUGGUAUCACUUUAAACAAAAUUUAAACUACGGCCGGACGUAUACCUAUGAACGUCGUGAAAAACCCAAGUAUAUUCGCAAAUAUCGUCGGCUUUGAACGCGCGCUAAAAAUAAUUCAAAGGAAAUCAGAAUUGCAAUGUUUC